GGGGCUGAUUCGGAUUCGACAGGAUUCAAUGAUGCUUUAGGUGCAUGCAGAGGUGCGGCUGGCCUCUUUAAUAAGCCGCAAAAAAAUAGUCGCAAACGACGAAAA
rnacentral:tmRNA from 1 species